rnacentral:rRNA from 1 species
GAAUUCGAUUCGGUGUGACAAGGCCCGGGAACGUAUUCACCGCGGCGUGCUGAUCCGCGAUUACUAGCGAUUCCAACUUCAUGCAGGCGAGUUGCAGCCUGCAAUCCGAACUGAGACAGACUUUAUCCGAUUAGCUCCACCUUGCGGUAUCGCGACGGUUUGUAUCUGCCAUUGUAGCACGUGUGUAGCCCCAGACAUAAAGGCCAUGCUGACUUGACGUCAUCCCCACCUUCCUCCGGUUUGUCACCGGCAGUCUCCUCAGAGUGCCCAGCAUAACCUGAUGGCAACAGAGGACAAGGGUUGCGCUCGUUGCGGGACUUAACCCAACAUCUCACGACACGAGCUGACGACAGCCAUGCAGCACCUCGACAAGUGUCCUUGCGGAAGCCGACUUUCGCCGGAUGUCACUCACCGUUCGAGCCUGGGUAAGGUUCUUCGCGUUAAUCACUA